AUGAUGCCAAAAUCGUCAGUUUGGGUCACUUGCGCAAUCCGAAGCAUUAGACGAUCUCAUAGGACCUGCAAGAUAAAGGGAAGAUAGAUCGAAUAGACCACCGGGUUGUGCUCGGUGGGGGAGCCUCCGAUGCUUAAGUUAGUAUGAACCCAUAUUUUUCAUAUUUAGAUAGUGUUUAGUAGUAGCUUUUGACGUACCUUCACAAGUGAGAUGGAUUGACCCUUUUAUAGGUGAUUUGGAUAGCUGUCGUACAUAAUUGGAGGUGAUUAUUGCCCAUGUGUAACAGUUAUUGUAUUGAUGAGCGUUUAAGACCGUUGAGUAAUGGUCGCCAUUAAUGUGUUGAAUGUGCUUGAGUGGUUA